rnacentral:misc_RNA from 1 species
GAUGAAGAACGCAGCGAAAUGCGAUAAGUAAUGUGAAUUGCAGAAUUCAGUGAAUCAUCGAAUCUUUGAACGCAUCUUGCACUCCUUGGUAUUCCGAGGAGUAUACCUGUUUGAGUGUCAUGGAAUUCUCAACCCUCAAAAUUUUAUCUUUAAAAUUGAAGGGGGCUUGGACUUGGAGGUUGUGCUGGCUUUAUUUUAACAAAGUGCGGCUCCUCUUAAAUACAUUAGUGCGAAACUUAUGGAUCGCUCUUUGGUGUGAUAAUUGUCUACGCCAUGAGUGUGAAGUAUAUAAUAGUUUGUGCUUCUAAUAGUUCUGUAUAGAACAAUAUAUCUGACAUCUGACCUCAAAUCAGGUAGGACUACCCGCUGAACUUAAGCAUAUCAAUAAGCGGAGGA